AGCGUUCCGAAAUUCUGUCGUUCUGUCGGCCAGGCGGCAAUCUAUGAAGAGUUAGUGUUCACGUAGUGCUUGCGCGCGUUCCUCGGAAACUAGUCUUUCGCCUCCGUUCGUUUUUAUUUCUCGUUACGUGAAAAGAAUCGAGUGUCAGGAUCGGUGAAAGAGUGUCGAAGCGGUGAUGAUUUCUCGCCAGUAAAUAAAAGAUCAUUGGGCCAUGCAGCCAGAUGAAGAGACGUGUGGAACUGCUCGAGGCAGAUUUGAGGAAGGUUGACCAGUGUUAUCUUACCAAUCAACCCGACGAACAGAAUCGAGGAAUCCCUGGUCACUCAGGAAUCUGAGAAAAUAAUUGAUACCUAUACGUUGAAACCGAAGAAGGUCCGAUAGACGAAUGAAUAAUACAUGUACAAAAAACAUUAAUCUUCAAAUGAAAAUAAUACUAUCGAGAAGAGUCUGUUGUUAGCUAUCAGUAGUGGAUGCGUUCAUAGAAACGUGCAGAAAUAAUACAUGAAGCGCUUUAAAAUUACGAGUCAAUAGUUGUUUCAUUCACUGGUAAUUUUUUGUUGUAUUCAACGUAUCGACGAAAUAAAUCAAAAGAGAAGAAAGAAAAAGGGGGCAAUUUUUACUCGUCGCAUUUGAGGAUUACCUAUAUUCAAUAGCGAUAUGUGUGUCCCGUUCCAAAAAUUUACGCCCGUUAACAAAGGUUGAGGGAUCCGAGAGCUCGCGUCGUUUCUAAUAAUUGGAUAAGCGUGCGGCAGGAAAAAAGCGAGUGAGAGAGAGAGAGAGAGAGAGGGAGGGAAAGAGAGAGUGCGAAAUCAGCGUAAAUUAAUCGAGCAGGCUGAUCUCCGGUUACGGAAAAAUCACGCUAACGAGUACGCACGGGCCGAUUUAGAGAAGGGAU